rnacentral:lncRNA from 1 species
ACACACUACCAGCUGGAAUGGAAAGGCAAUGGAAUAGGCUGUCCUCUUGGGUGGAUCUUAAGUGUCCUGACUGCAAAGCUGAUGUUACAGUGAACUUGUCCUGAAAUUGAUACUGGAUGGUACAGAACAAUGCCAAUGGUGAUGAUAAUACAAAACUUCCAUAUAUGCCAGACAAAAGAUUCGGCUAAUGAUAUACUUUCCCUGAAGACUGAAGGAAGGUUAGAGGCACACAAGAUCUUUGUCAGUGUUGCUGACACCAUGGAUAGCUUGUGACAAUGGUAUAGAGAUCACCACCCAAAUUUGGAUGUGGAGUAUCUUGUCCCAGACCAUGAGCCAUCCCAGGUGAGAAUCUGCACAGCUGGACAUCACUCAGUCCCAUCACCACUACCGUUAGUGGAACCACCUAGUCUUUCAGCUUCUGAGCCUUUAGAAAAGGGAUGUGCACAUUUAAGUCUUUCUUCACAAUUAUUCAGAGGGCUAGAAACUUCAAUUAAGGAACAAUGAACAGAGUUCUGAGGCUUGUAUGAAAGCUGAUAGUAGGUGUGAUCUAUUUGCGCAGUGAUGUGCAUCAGCAAGUUUACGGCGCAACGCUCUUGGAUAUGAAGGAUUGGCCAGCUGCACACUGAUGCCAAGGGGAUGCCCAAGUGUACAUGCAAUGCCUACUCUUUGAGGAGGCUCCUUCAAUGUUAUCUGAGUUGAGCAAGUCAAACAUUUUGUACAAAACCCAAACGAAUGGCUCCUUCAACUCUUUAAUAACUGCUGGAUGAGCAAACAAAUUCCAAAGACAUGGUGGAAGAUGAAAGUAAUCACUAUAUUGAAACCAGGCAAGGAACCAUCAGAUCCCAAAAGCUACAUGCCAAUCUCCCUACUAUGCCAUUUAUACAAAAAGUUUGAAUGAAUGAUAUCAAACUACCUAGUUCCUAAAACUGAACCUCUUGUAAUUCCAGAAUAGGCAGGCUUUAGAUCCAGCAAGAAAACAAAUCUUAAAUCUAACCCAAUAUAUAGAAAAUGGUUUCGAAACACAUAAAAUAAUUAGAGCAGCAUUUGUCAACCUUAUGGUGGCAUAUCCUAAUGUCCAUUAUCAAUUGCUGGUCAAAAAGCUCUAGCUCUUUACUAAAAACCAAGGACUAACAGAAAUGACCCCCAUUCUACUUCAGAACUGAAGACUCUUCGCUGAAUUUCAAGGGAGGCACAAUCACUGGGGAGGUGACCAAAGGAAUGGUCUCCCACAGAGUAGCAUUCUGGCACCAUUGCUUUUUAACAUUUACACAAA